ACCAGACUCCUACGGGAGGCAGCAGUGGGGAAUAUUGCACAAUGGGGGAAACCCUGAUGCAGCAACGCCGCGUGAGUGAAGAAGCGUUUCGGCGCGUAAAGCUCUGUCAGCGGGGAAGAAAGAAGACGGUACCCGACCAAGAAGCCCCGGCUAACUACGUGCCAGCAGCCGCGGUAAUACGUAGGGGGCAAGCGUUAUCCGGAUUCACUGGGUGUAAAGGGAGCGUAGACGGCCAUGCAAGCCUGGAGUGAAAGCCCGGGGCCCAACCCCGGGACUGUUCUGGGAACUGUGCGGCUGGAGUGCGGGAGGGGCAGGCGGAAUUCCUGGUGUAGCGGUGAAAUGCGUAGAUAUCAGGAGGAACACCGGCGGCGAAGGCGGCCUGCUGGACCGCGACUGACGUUGAGGCUCGAAAGCGUGGGGAGCAAACAGGAUUAGAUACCCGCGUAA
rnacentral:rRNA from 1 species